rnacentral:rRNA from 1 species
CGCCUCCUGCCCACAACAGUAUAGGAGGUCCCGCCUGCCCUGUGACCAAAAGUUUAACGGCCGCGGUAUUUUAACCGUGCAAAGGUAGCGCAAUCAAUUGUCUUUUAAAUGGAGACCUGUAUGAAUGGCAUAACGAGGGUUUAACUGUCUCUUUUUUCCAGUCAAUGAAACUGAUCUGCCCGUGCAGAAGCGGGCAUAUUAACACAAGACGAGAAGACCCUAUGGAGCUUUAGACGCCCACCAACUAUGAAAAGAGACCAGAUUAAUGGAAACCCAAACAACAUAGCCCUGGCACAAACGUCUUCGGUUGGGGCGACCACGGGGGAAAAUAAAGCCCCCAAGAGGACAGGGGAACACCCUAGAACCAAGAGUUACAGCUCUAAGUCACAAAACAUUUGACCGAUUAAUGAUCCGGCCCACGCCGAUCAACGGACCAAGUUACCCUAGGGAUAACAGCGCAAUCCCCUCCCAGAGUCCAUAUCGACGAGGGGGUUUACGACCUCGAUGUUGGAUCAGGACAUCCUAAUGGUGCAGCCGCUAUUAAGGGUUCGUUUGUUCAACGAUUAAAGUCCU